UCCGUGGCGACGCGGAAUCUGAAGGAAGUCGGCGGCAAAUCUCCGGUCUGAGGAACACGAACUUCAUAUAAGGCUAGGUAUCAUUGGAUGAGAUUGCACAACAAAUCAAAGUCUUACUGCCAAAGGUGAUACAGAGUAAAUGAAGCAGAUAGAUGGAGAGGAAGAAUAUGCG
rnacentral:ncRNA from 1 species